UCGUCCAGGAUGUCUGGGAUGUGUGGUUA
rnacentral:piRNA from 1 species